rnacentral:lncRNA from 1 species
CCUUAUAUAGUAUUUUGAAUAAACCUCCUUUUUAGGUUUAAAGAUCUGUUCAGAUUAGCUGACAUUGCCUGUAGAUCUUUUCACGUGAUGAUCAAGCCAGCUUUGUGUCUAACUUUUGGAUGGUUAGCAGCUUUUAGGGUUUGUUUUUCAAUAAACCCUACUUGGUGGAUAUGAACAGACUUGUCCUAAUUAGAUUUUUAGACAGAAGUUUUGUCUUUUCAGAUGUUUGCAAGAUCUGAUUUUAGAUAUGUUUUUCAUAUAUAAUUUAUUUAAACACAUACCUUUUGUAGUAAUCGACGCAUUCCUGAUUUUGCUUUAUCUUAACUCUUGCAGGUGGUGAUUGAUGUGUGUAGUGCAGGUGCAAGAUUUGCUUUUGCCCGAGCUACUUGCAGGGUGUUGUCGUUGCUGUUCAACUCACAUAUCAGGUAUGGUGUUUGUAGGAUGAGUGACUGAUUGACCUGGCUGUGAUGGGUUGAGUAUGGUGGCUGAAUUUUCAAUACCGAGGUUGCCGGAAUGUGCAGGCAUGAGUUUGGAAUUUCUUUCACCAAAGUCGAGAAUGUUUGGAUUUUCAAGACAAAGAAGAUUUGUC